CCUCGCGCGUCUUUGUGCUUGGAAAUCUGGCACUGUUUAACAGAACAAGUGGGACUGCAUCUUAGUACAAUGAGGAAGCAGUGUCUGACGCCGACACUGAGUGCGGCUCAAAAUACAGGCAGGAGUACGACGCUACUACUCCAAAGCCCAUUGAACAAUCAGACAAUGCUGAUAAAAGCAACGACAUGCGCGAACAACAACAGUGCUGUUCCAUGGAAUACAGCAAGCAAUGCGUUCCCCAAGUACUAAAAAGGAAAGGAUUGCAGUGAUGAGAUUGUUGCAUCUUUCAUUCCACUGAGGAAGAAGCUGAUGGUGGUAAUGUCUGGAACUUCGAUGGGGCACUGUGAGUUCUACAAGAGCAAGAGCACUGAGCAUAUAAUACAUCGCACAUGGACUUUGGCAACAUUCAUCUUUGUGAUGUCAGUGGGAACAAGCGGCUUUUACAGCCGGUUAUGGUAUCUGCAGGGUUAACCUACCAUUAUAAACGAUCAUUGUAAGUUGUA